rnacentral:rRNA from 1 species
UACGGGGGGGGUAAGCGUUGUUCGGAAUUACUGGGCGUAAAGGGCUCGUAGGCGGCCAACUAAGUCAGACGUGAAAUCCCUCAGCUUAACUGGGGAACUGCGUCUGAUACUGGAUGGCUUGGAUUCGGGAGAGGAAUGCGGAAUUCCAGGUGUAGCGGUGAAAUGCGUAGAUAUCGAGAGGAACACCUGCGGCGAAGGCGGGUAGCUGGGCCGACACUGACGCUGAGGCGCGAAAGCCAGGGGAGCGAACAUG